UUUAUGGAGAGUUUGAUCCUGGCUCAGGAUGAACGCUGGCGGCGUGCCUAAUACAUGCAAGUCGAGCGAACAGACGAGGAGCUUGCUCCUCUGACGUUAGCGGCGGACGGGUGAGUAACACGUGGAUAACCUACCUAUAAGACUGGGAUAACUUCGGGAAACCGGAGCUAA
rnacentral:rRNA from 1 species